UUGGUGCUGAGGCACUCGCACAGCAAAAAUGUCUGCCUAAGGGGAAACUCUUAAGUGGUACAAAUACAGCAUAUUUCUCACUGCUAUUGCCGUUUAAAGACACACUUUACGCGUGUAGAGGCAUACACCGAGAAAGCGAAUCUUCACCAGAUCACCCUAGUCGGGAUUUUACUUGGAAAAAAGGUCUUAAGCUCGCCAGGAUGAAUCCUCAGCAGCGGAUUCCCGCUCUCGGAACAGACAAGGAAUUGAGCGACCUCCUGGAUUUUAGUGCGAUGUUCUCUCCACCCGUCAACGGAGGGAAGAACAGGCCAACGACACUUGGAAGCAGCCAGUUUAGUGCAUCAGGUAUGGAUGAGCGGACCAACCUUCCAGCAUCUUGGGCCCCAGGUGGCGAUUCCAGUCCUUCGUGCGAACCCUCCAGGGGUUUCACAGACAGCCCUCAUUAUGGUGAUCAUUUGAGUGACAGUCGAUUAGUGUCCCAUGAAGGAUUGUCCCCGACACCUUUUAUGAACUCCAACAUAAUGGCCAAAUCAGAGAGAGCUGCGUUACAUGGCUUUGGAAGGGAAACUGGAGCAUCUGGCUGUCAGUCACAGCCAUCUCUACGCUCAGACGUGGGAGUGACAAGUCCUAGUUCAGGGACGGCGUCGGCAAAGUCAGCGGCUCCCUUCUUUUCGUUCAGUGCUGCCAAUCCCAGAAGACGUGCUUUGCAGGACCCUCCGCCCAUUGAUCCUCUCCAAACAAAAAAGGUUCGCAAGGUCCCUCCUGGCCUGCCUUCAUCUGUGUACGCACCAUCUCCAAACUCAGAGGACUUCAACAGAGAUUCGCCCUCCUACUCUCCUCCCAAACCCUCCAGCAAUAUGUUUGCAAGCACUUUUUUUGAUGGUACCCACGGUUCAUCUGACCUUUGGAACGCAGCCAACGGGAUUAGUCAGCCUGGCUAUGGAGGAAUGCUUCCAGGAUCUUCAUCUCACAUGCCACAGUCGGGAAACUACAGCAGCCUGCACUCGCACGACCGUCUGAACUACCCAGCACACUCCGCUUCCCCAGACGUCAAUGCCAGUCUUCCUCCCAUGUCCAGCUUCCACAGAAGCAGCACAGGCACUUCACCAUUUGUCUCUGCAACAGUCAACAAUGCAGAUGGGGUGCUGGCUGCCGCAAAUCGGGGGAACGCAACUGGAAGCUCACAGACCGGAGAUGCACUUGGCAAGGCUUUGGCCUCGAUUUACUCACCUGACCACACGAGCAGCAGUUUUCCUUCCAAUCCGUCCACGCCUGUGGGUUCCCCUUCACCUCUCACAGCCACAGCAGGCGCUGCUGGCUCAGCAGGGACUGUGGUAACGUCUGGCAGCAACCCGUCUGGAAGACCAGGUACCAACCAGUGGCCGCGUCCCGGUGGACAGACCCCUUCUUCUCCAAAUUAUGAGAACUCCCUUCACUCACUGAAAAACAGAGUUCAGCAGCAGUUACAUGAGCAUCUUCAGGAUGCCAUGUCUUUCUUAAAAGAUGUCUGUGAGUCGCGAAUGGAGGAUCGUCUUGACCGGCUAGAUGAUGCAAUCCUUGUUCUGAGAAACCACGCUGUGGGCUCCACCGCCAGUCUGCCCAGCGACAUCCACAGUCUACUAGGCCAGGCACAAAAUGGACAACUGGCAGCCAUCGGAGCAAGUUUCCCUGCCUCAGCGCUGGCUUCCAGUCGGACCACAGCGAUGGGUUCUUCCCAUGCUGACGACACCGCUAGUCUGAACAGCCACGGAGGCCUGCCAAGCACCGGCUCCACGUCCAGCACAGAACUCAACCAUCAAGUGGAAGCAUUCCGAGGCUUGGCCAGUCAGGUAGCUACCACUUUGGCGCUGAAGGUAGAGAGGCAAGACAAGGAUGACAUGAACGAUUCCCUCUCGGGCGAUGACAAGUCGGAUGAUGAAAGCGACAGCUUGAAAACACCGCGCGGUGGCACGCGCACAAGUCUGACCGAGGACGAAGACCUGAAUCCGGAACAGAAAGCGGAGCGUGAGCGAGAGCGGAGGAUGGCCAACAACGCCCGGGAACGAUUGCGGGUGCGGGACAUCAACGAGGCCUUCAAGGAGCUGGGUCGCAUGUGCCAGCUACACCUGAAGAGCGAGAAGCCUCAAACCAAACUGCUCAUCCUCCACCAGGCCGUGGCAGUCAUCCUCAGUUUGGAGCAGCAAGUUAGAGAGCGGAAUCUUAACCCUAAAGCGGCCUGCCUAAAGAGAAGAGAGGAGGAAAAAGUGUCGGGCGGUUCCGGUGACGGCCAACAAGGUCACACGGGGGUCCACCCGAGCUUGACUGACACAUCCAACCCCAUCGGCCACCUCUGAGGCCCAGACAGUCCAAAAGCCAAACUUAGUGUGUGUCAUGUUAUAUAAAAUGGCAGCAAAACAUAACAGAGGCCCUUCACAUUGGACAAGCUACAGUAGGACUAGAUCAAACUCGCGGAACAUUUUGUCCCCUCUGAGAUGGCCACUCCUCUGACUUCUCGCCACCUUGCAGAGGAGAAUAGACCACCAGAAGCCAAAAUCACACGACUAACGCAAUCCAGUACAGAGACUGACAAGGAGCCCGCACGGUACUCCGUCCGCAAAUUUCUCCCCCAAAAAGCAAGAAGAAUCUCGAGCACAUAUCACGCAGAUCUGCAAGAAGCGUGUCGCUUCUGAACAAUCAGACUUCGCAAUCUCCUCCGACUCUAUGUGGAGGUUGCCUCGUGCCUAAACUGAAUUGACGAAUGCAUUGUAACAGCAACUUUUAUUUUUGUUCUCCUUCUAUUUAUUGCGCCCAUGAGCUCAAAGUGUAUGUCUUAAGGGAAAAUGUAUACAGUUUUCAGUUUAACCCAUAGUUUGCCUGUGUCGUUACAAACAAAAGC